UACGUAGGUGGCAAGCGUUGUCCGGAUUUAUUGGGUUUAAAGGCUGCGUAGGCGGCCCUGUAAGUCAGUGCUGAAAUACCCCGGCUUAACCGGGGGGGUGGCAUUGAUACUGCAGGGCUUGAGUACAGAUGAGGUAGGCGGAAUUGACGGUGUAGCGGUGAAAUGCAUAGAUAUCGUCAAGAACACCGAUAGCGAAGGCAGCUUACUGGGCUGUAACUGACGCUGAUGCACGAAAGUGUGGGGAUCAAACAGG
rnacentral:rRNA from 1 species